rnacentral:rRNA from 1 species
CGCAUCUGUGCAUGCAGCAUAUCAAUAAGCGGAGGAAAAGAAACUAACAAGGAUUCCCUUAGUAACGGCGAGUGAAGCGGGAAGAGCUCAAAUUUGAAAUCUACAAGGUUUUACCUUGACGAAUUGUAGUUUAAAGAAGUGUUUUCUGUUGAAGUUUUGGUAAAAGUUCUUUGGAAUAGGACAUCAUAGAGGGUGAGAAUCCCGUAUUUGACCAUUAUUUUCAGCUGUGUGAUACACUUUCAAAGAGUCGGAUUGUUUGGGAAUGCAGUCCAAAAUGGGUGGUAAAUUUCAUCUAAAGCUAAAUAUUGGCGAGAGACCGAUAGCGAACAAGUACCGUGAGGGAAAGAUGAAAAGAACUUUGAAAAGAGAGUUAAACAGUACGUGAAAUUGUCAAAAGGGAAGCGUUUGACACCAGUGUUGUUUUCUCGAAAAUCAAUUAAAAAGAGUUAGAUUUUGUUGUGUAUUGACCUUAACAGCUUGCAUUUCAAUUUUCUUGCUUUUUUUAAUGCACUUUUCGUUUAACAAGUCAACAUCAGUUUCUUUUGUUGUAAAAAGGUCAUUGGAAGGUGGCUUUCUUUUCGGAGAAAGUGUUUAUAGCCUUUGACUCCUGCAAUCGGAGAGACUGAGGUCUGCAGCGUAGAUCCUUCGGGGUUAGAUACAUUUGUGCUAAGUUAUAGCUUUUUAUAGACAACUUGUUGACUAUGAUUAGUCUUGUAGCUUACUCGCUUAUGCUAUUUUACCUACGCUUAGGAUGUUGACGCGCGUGUGUGCGUG